rnacentral:rRNA from 1 species
AUGACAACGGAGCCCUCGCCCCGCCGCGCUAGGGUUGGCGAGCCGGCGGCGGACCCGCUGACGUCCCUCCCGCCGCCCCUGCUCGACGCCAUCCUCACCCGCCUCGACCUCCCCGACGCGGUCCGUACCUCCGCCUUCUCUCGCGCCUGGCGCCGCCGGUGGGAGGCCCUCCCCUACCUCUGCCUCUCCUUCGUCGACAACCCCGGCACGGCCCCCUUGGCUGUCGACCGCGUUCUCGCUCGCUACCCCGGCCGCAUCUCCAACUUCUCCUUCCACGUCGACGAGCACUCCUUCGGCCGCGUCGAUGACUGGCUCGUCGCCCUCUGCGACCGCGGCGUCAAGUCCAUCAACCUCCGAUGCGCCUCCCCCUUCAUCCUCCACUCCUCCCUCUUCUUAUGCGCCCAACUCACGCACCUGAAGCUGUGCCAUUGCGGCCUGCCGCCUCUCCCGGUGGGAUUCACUGGAUUCCCCAUGCUCAAGGAUCUAAAACUCAGCUUUGUCGAAUUCCUGGAGAACGGGGAGAGCCAACUGGAGGCGAUUCUUGUCGGGUCACCUUUGCUUGAAACCCUGAAUCUUCACUUUGUGGAUAUCCGUGGGAACGAUCCAUACUCAAAUGUGUGGGUGAUUCGCGGGGCCAACCUCCGGAGCCUAACGAUAAAUUCUGAUUUUGAGUAUGACUGGCAAGUUAAGGAGCUGCCAUACCUCGAUUAA